rnacentral:rRNA from 1 species
GAUGAACGCUGGCGGCGUGCCUAAUACAUGCAAGUCGAGCGAAUGGAUUAAGAGCUUGCUCUUAUGAAGUUAGCGGCGGACGGGUGAGUAACACGUGGGUAACCUGCCCAUAAGACUGGGAUAACUCCGGGAAACCGGGGCUAAUACCGGAUAACAUUUUGAACCGCAUGGUUCGAAAUUGAAAGGCGGCUUCGGCUGUCACUUAUGGAUGGACCCGCGUCGCAUUAGCUAGUUGGUGAGGUAGCGGCUCACCAAGGCAACGAUGCGUAGCCGACCUGAGAGAGGGAUCGGCCACACUGGGACUGAGACACGGCCCAGACUCCUACGGGAGGCAGCAGUAGGGAAUCUUCCGCAAUGGACGAAAGUCUGACGGAGCAACGCCGCGUGAGUGAUGAAGGCUUUCGGGUCGUAAAACUCUGUUGUUAGGGAAGAACAAGUGCUAGUUGAAUAAGCUGGCACCUUGACGGUACCUAACCAGAAAGCCACGGCUAACUACGUGCCAGCCGCCGCGGUAA